AGCGGCGGACGGGUGAGUAACGCGUGGGUAACCUGCCUUAUACAGGGGGAUAACAGUCAGAAAUGGCUGCUAAUACCGCAUAAGCGCACAGAGCUGCAUGGCUCGGUGUGAAAAACUCCGGUGGUAUAAGAUGGACCCGCGUUGGAUUAGCUAGUUGGAGGGGUAACGGCCCACCAAGGCGACGAUCAGUAGCCGGCCUGAGAGGGUGAACGGCCACAUUGGGACUGAGACACGGCCCAAACUCCUACGGGAGGCAGCAUG
rnacentral:rRNA from 1 species